UACGAAGGGGGCUAGCGUUGCUCGGAAUCACUGGGCGUAAAGCGCACUAGGCGGCUUUUUAAGUCAGGGGUGAAAUCCUGGAGCUCAACUCCAGAACUGCCUUUGAUACUGAGAGGCUCGAGUCCGGGAGAGGUGAGUGGAACUGCGAGUGUAGAGGUGAAAUUCGUAGAUAUUCGCAGAACACCAGUGGCGAAGGCGGCUCACUGGCCCGGUACUGACGCUGAGGUGCGAAAGCGUCGGGGAUCAA
rnacentral:rRNA from 1 species